UUCCAGAUUUUUGUGUCACCCCAUCAGCCUGGCUGCUUUUCUGAGUGAGUAGCAGUAGCAGCCCCUAAUCUCCACUCAUCCCUGCAAUUUUAUCCUUCUCCCUGUUUUCAGCCAUAAAGCGUAAUUCUCCUGAAUAUUCCUGGGCUCCACAGGGGCGGGUCUCCUUUUUACCAAUCACUGGCAGUCUUGCGGCCCAGGGUUUUCCUUGGGUGUCACACUUGUUUGGGGGAAUUAGUGCCCAGCAGUCCCACCAUGAUCCUCCCACCCUUUUAUCUUCUGGGUUCCCAAAUGCGAGGGCUGCCUCAGCACAACCAGGAUUGCUGACACUGGGGCUUGGGUGACAGGGCCCCCUGGGAGAGAAUGCUUUAUUUUGUUCACUGUGAAUUUUUUUUGCAUUAAUUUUUAUUUUUAAAAAUAUUGCAUUAAAAUGUUAUUUAUUUGAUUAUUCAGUUUUUUGGCACCUCUUCUUAAAUUUGUGCCCCUAAUCUUAGGUUCAUUCUUUUUACAAAUUAAUUAUGUAGGGUAGAAUUUACAGGAUUGCAACACUGUUGUGUUAGAAAUCUUUAUAUAGUAAGAAAGUUAUUUGCUUCUAACAUUCGAUGUUUUGGGGCAGCUGAUAGCUUGUGUAGCCAUGACUAUUGAGUCAGAACUGUUACGAUUCAGGCACCCUCUAUAGGUGGACUUUCCAGUAGUUGCUUUAAUGAAAACGUGGUUUUUGUGGCAAUACUUUUUUCCUUUAAGUAAAAAAUUUUAAAAAACAAAAAUAAAAAGUCUGUGUAUUUAGUAGCAUACAUCUUACAGAUCUUGGGAAAAAACCCCAAGUCCCUUUGUUUAUGACUAAAUAACUUUCUUCCUAUAUGUAGAAAUGAGUAUUGUCCUGAUAAUAAGCAUAGGACAACUCCUUGACUUGAGAUUAACUCCAAUGGCAUAUAUGGUCUGUAGAUAUUUUUGUGAAAAAUUACAGUUGUAGAUGUUUCAGGGUUUAUUUGUGAACUCAGUUUCACUACUAACAAGGCAAUUAUACUACUUAACAUGUUAAACAGGUUUUAGAAAAUAGUUUUGUAAUUAUAAGGGUAAUAAGUGAAAAGUAAGAGAAACAAAAGGCAUAAAACAAAACAAUGAAUAUUUUAAUCUUUAUUUUUAAAUUGUUUUCUUACUUUUUUAAAUACUAUCGGUGAAUCUGGUUACUGCCAGCUGUUGUUAUGUCAGUCGAAGACUUAGCCAGCUAUCAAGUCAUGAUCCGCUGUGGAGAAGACAUUGCAAAAAAUACUGGCUGAUAUCUGAGUGAGUAUUCGAGGAAUAUGUACU
rnacentral:lncRNA from 1 species